GACAGAGGGUGCAAACGUUGUUCGGAAUUACUGGGCGUAAAGCGCGUGUAGGCGGUUCGGUAAGUCGGAUGUGAAAGCCCCGGGCUCAACCCGGGAAGUGCACUCGAUACUGCCGAGCUAGAGUAUCGGAGAGGUUGGUGGAAUUCUCGGUGUAGAGGUGAAAUUCGUAGAUAUCGAGAGGAACACCGGUGGCAAAGGCGGCCAACUGGACGAAUACUGACGCUGAGACUCGAAAGCGUGGGGAGCAAACAGG
rnacentral:rRNA from 1 species